GACUUGUGGAGCAACAGUUGCGGUCCUUGGCGCGUAGACGAUAAUAUCUCCAAGACUCCACAGAAGUGGAAGAAAGAUGGCUGUGCUGCAUUCUGCUUGUGUAGCCGGAAUCCGCUGCUUCACUCCUACUGCAGAUACAUGGAACACUUGCAGAUUGAUUAGUUCACAUAAACACUCAAUGGAAGCUAGUCAUGGUAUUAAGGAAAUCCAAUUGGCCCAGAAGUCUUCUUCUGCAAGUAUUGGUCUUGGUUCCUCUACGUCGUCGUCUUCGGGGACUUACGGCAAGUCGAAGAGGGUGUGGGUGUGGACGGAGAGCAAGCAGGUCAUGACGGCUUCUGUGGAGAGAGGCUGGAACACCUUCAUCUUCUCUUCUCGAAGUCGUGAACUUGCCGAUGAGUGGUCCUCAAUUGCUUUGAUACAUCCUCUCUUUAUCCAAGAGGGAGCGAUUUUUGAUGGCGAGAACAGAAGUGUUGCCACAAUUCUUGAGGUCUCCAAUCCCCAAGAGUUAGAGCAGCUUCAGCCGGAUAAAGGGUUGGGGGAAAAUGUUGUUGUUGAUUUACUAGAUUGGCAGGUAAUACCCGCGGAGAAUAUAGUUGCAGCAUUUCAAGGGAGUGAAAAAACAGUGUUUGCCAUCUCGAAAACCCCUUUGGAAGCACAAGUCUUCUUUGAGGCCCUCGAACAAGGUCUGGGUGGAGUUGUUUUAAAAGUUGAGGAUGUAAAAGCUAUUCUUGACUUAAAGGAUUAUUUUGACAGACGAGAUGAAGUGGGCAACAUAUUGAGCUUGACCAAAGCCACUGUAACUUCAGUACAAGUAGCUGGAAUGGGGGAUCGAGUUUGUGUUGAUCUCUGUAGUCUCAUGAGACCUGGGGAAGGACUGCUUGUUGGAUCCUUUGCCAGGGGACUCUUCCUCGUUCAUUCGGAAUGCUUGGAGUCAAAUUACAUUGCGAGCAGGCCUUUUCGUGUCAAUGCGGGACCUGUACAUACCUAUGUUGCUGUUCCAGGAGGAAAAACGUGCUACCUCUCAGAGUUGAAAUCAGGUAAAGAGGUGAUUCUGGUUGAUCAGAAAGGCCAUCAACGAACAGCGAUUGUUGGGCGUGUGAAGAUAGAAACUAGACCGCUAAUCCUUGUGGAGGCGAAGCUCCAGAGAGAUUCAGAUAAUCAAACUCUAUACAGCAUCCUUGUACAGAAUGCGGAAACAGUGGCCUUAGUUUGUCCCAGCAAAGAAAUUGAAGUGCAAAAAACUGCCAUUCCUGUGACUUCACUUAAAGUUGGAGAUGAAAUUUUAGUUAGAUUACAGGGAGGGGCUCGGCAUACGGGAAUUGAAAUUCAAGAAUUCAUUGUGGAGAAGUAAGAAACGAAGAUGACACAGGUGAAAUUUGUUGAGAAUUUUCCAACUGAUAUAACUAGAUCAAUUUUUUGGUCUUGAGGUCGCUUUUGUAAUACUAUUGUGGCCCUGUUUCUACUCCAGCCCAACUUUUAUCUGCAAGGUUUGGUUCUUCCUA